rnacentral:rRNA from 1 species
CCCUUAGAUGUUCUGGGCCGCACGCGCGCUACACUGAUACGUUCAGCGAGUAUAUAACCUUGAUUGGAAAAUCUGGGUAAUCUUUUGAAUGCGUAUCGUGCUAGGGAUAGAUUAUUGCAAUUAUUAAUCUUGAACGAGGAAUUCCUAGUAAACGCAAGUCAUCAGCUUGCAUUGAUUACGUCCCUGCCCUUUGUACACACCGCCUGUCGCACAAACCGAUUGAAUGAUUCGGUGAAAAUUUUGGACAUCGAGAGUGGUGAUUAAUUUCGCUGUUCUUAAAUGGAAAGAAUUUAAACCUAAUUAUUUAGAGGAUUGUGAAGGCAUAACA